rnacentral:tRNA from 1 species
GGGGCCUUAGCUCCGCUGGGAGAGCGCCUGCCUUGCACGCCGGAGGUCAGCGGUUCGGUCCCGCUAGGCUCCC